UACGUAGGGGGCAAGCGUUGUCCGGAUUUAUUGGGCGUAAAGAGCGUGUAGGCGGUUCGUUAGGUCCGCUGUGAAAACUCGAGGCUCAACCUCGAGACGCUGGUGGAAACCUCAUGGCUAGAGUCCGGAAGAGGAGAGUGGAAUUCCUGGUGUAGCGGUGAAAUGCGCAGAUAUCAGGAGGAACACCUGUGGCGAAAGCGGCUCACUGGACCAUAACUGACGCUGGAUGCACGAAAGCUAGGGGAGCAAACAGG
rnacentral:rRNA from 1 species